rnacentral:rRNA from 1 species
GAUGAACGCUAGCUACAGGCUUAACACAUGCAAGUCGAGGGGUAACGAGAGGAAAGCUUGCUUUCCUUGUCGACGACCGGCGCACGGGUGAGUAACGCGUAUCCAACCUGCCCCCAACUAGGGAAUAACCUUGCGAAAGUAAGACUAAUACCCUAUAAUUUCCUCAGAUGACAUCUGACGAGGAAUAAAGAUUUAUCGGAUGUGGAUGGGGAUGCGUCUGAUUAGCUGGUUGGCGGGGUAACGGCCCACCAAGGCAACGAUCAGUAGGGGUUCUGAGAGGAAGGUCCCCCACAUUGGAACUGAGACACGGUCCAAACUCCUACGGGAGGCAGCAGUGAGGAAUAUUGGUCAAUGGGCGGAAGCCUGAACCAGCCAAGUAGCGUGCAGGAUGACGGCCCUAUGGGUUGUAAACUGCUUUUAUACAGGAAUAAAGUUAGCCACGUGUGGUUAUUUGUAGGUACUGUAUGAAUAAGGACCGGCUAAUUCCGUGCCAGCAGCCGCCGCGG